rnacentral:rRNA from 1 species
AAUACGAAGGGGGCUAGCGUUGCUCGGAAUCACUGGGCGUAAAGGGCGCGUAGGCGGCCAGGUAAGUCGGGGGUGAAAGCCCGUGGCUCAACCACGGAAUUGCCUUCGAUACUGCUUGGCUUGAGACCGGAAGAGGUGAGUGGAACUGCGAGUGUAGAGGUGAAAUUCGUAGAUAUUCGCAAGAACACCAGUGGCGAAGGCGGCUCACUGGUCCGGAUCUGACGCUGAGGCGCGAAAGCGUGGGGAGCAAACAGGA